rnacentral:rRNA from 1 species
UGGGGAAUAUUGCGCAAUGGGGGGAACCCUGACGCAGCCAUGCCGCGUGAAUGAAGAAGGCCUUCGGGUUGUAAAGUUCUUUCGGUAUUGAGGAAGGUUGAUGUGUUAAUAGCACAUCAAAUUGACGUUAAAUACAGAAGAAGCACCGGCUAACUCCGUGCCAGCAGCCGCGGUAAUACGGAGGGUGCGGGCGUUAAUCGGAAUAACUGGGCGUAAAGGGCACGCAGGCGGUUAUUUAAGUGAGGUGUGAAAGCCCUGGGCUUAACCUAGGAAUUGCAUUUCAGACUGGGUAACUAGAGUACUUUAGGGAGGGGUAGAAUUCCACGUGUAGCGGUGAAAUGCGUAGAGAUGUGGAGGAAUACCGAAGGCGAAGGCAGCCCCUUGGGAAUGUACUGACGCUCAUGUGCGAAAGCGUGGGGAGCAAACAGGAUUAGAUACCCUGGUAGUCCACGCUGUAAACGCUGUCGAUUUGGGGAUUGGGCUUAGAGCUUGGUGCCCGUAGCUAACGUGAUAAAUCGACCGCCUGGGGAGUACGGCCGCAAGGUUA